UACAGAGGUCCCCAAGCGUUUGUUCGGAUUCACUGGGCGUAAAGGGUGCGUAGGUGGCUUGGUAAGUUAGAGGUGAAAGCCUGGAGCUCAACUCCAGAACUGCCUUUUAAGACUGCAUCGCUUGAAUCCAGGAGAGGUGAGUGGAAUUCCGAGUGUAGAGGUGAAAAUUCGUAGAUAUUCGGAAGAACACCAGUGGCGAAGGCGGCUCACUGGACUGGUAUUGACGCUGAGGUGCGAAAGCGUGGGGGAGCAAACAGG
rnacentral:rRNA from 1 species